rnacentral:rRNA from 1 species
UUCUUUAAGAAAUUAUUUAAAGUAUUACCUGCUCAAUGUAAAUAUUAAUAGCCGCAGUUUAUACUGUGCUAAGGUAGCAUAAUAACUUGCUUUAUAAUUAAAAGAUAGAAUGAAUGGUUAAACGAUUAAACACUGUUUCUUAUUAAUAAAUAAAAUUAAUUUUGUGAUAAAAAACUCAUAAUAAAUAAACAAGACGACAAGACCCUAAUAAACUUAUUAUUUAGUUGGGGUGACAAAAAAAAUAAUCCUUAUUUAACUAAUAAUACCGCACCUUUAUUAAAAUAAAAGAAUAGUUACUAUAGGGAUAACAGCGUAAUAUUAUUCAAGAGUUCAUAUCAAAAAUAAAGAUUACGACCUCGAUGUUGAAUUAAUUAACCAGUAUAGCGCAAAAGCUAUAAAAGGAAGUCUGUUCGACUUAUAAAAAAUU